rnacentral:rRNA from 1 species
GAUGAACGCUGGCGGCGUGCCUAAUACAUGCAAGUCGAGCGAACGGACGAGAAGCUUGCUUCUCUGAUGUUAGCGGCGGACGGGUGAGUAACACGUGGAUAACCUACCUAUAAGACUGGGAUAACUUCGGGAAACCGGAGCUAAUACCGUAUAAUAUUUUGAACCGCAUGGUUCAAAAGUGAAAGACGGUCUUGCUGUCACUUAUAGAUGGUUCCGCGCUGCAUUGGCUAGUUGGUAAGGUAACGGCUUACCAAGGCAACGAUGCAUAGCCGACCGGAGAGGGUGGUAGGCGACACGAGAACUGGGACACGGUCCAGACGACUGAGGGAGGCAGCAGUAGGGAAUCUUCCGCAGUAGGCGAGAGCAUGACGGAGCGACGCCGCGUGAGUGAUAAAGAUCUUGGGAUCGUGAAACUCUGUUAUGAGGGAAAAACAUAUGUGUAAGUAGAAGUGCACAAAGUGACGGUACCUGAUCAGGAAGCCACGGCUAACUACGUG